rnacentral:rRNA from 1 species
GGGCCCGCACAAGCGGUGGAGCAUGUGGUUUAAUUCGAUGCAACGCGAAGAACCUUACCAGGGCUUGACAUACUACAGAUCCCUUUGAAAAAAGGGAGUGCCUUCGGGAAUGUAGAUACAGGUGGUGCAUGGCUGUCGUCAGCUCGUGUCGUGAGAUGUUGGGUUAAGUCCCGCAACGAGCGCAACCCUUAUUUUUAGUUGCCAGCGGUUCGGCCGGGGACUCUAAGAAGACUGCCAGCGCAAGCUGAGAGGAAGGUGGGGAUGACGUCAAGUCCUCAUGGCCCUUACGUGUUGGGCUACACACGUGCUACAAUGGUAUUUACAACAGGAAGCAAGACUGCGACGUUAAGCAAAUCCUUAAAAGAUACCUCAGUUCGGAUUGCACUCUGCAACUCGAGUGCAUG